rnacentral:lncRNA from 1 species
GGGAACAGAUAUUCAUUUAUGGACGAAAAACAAUUUACUUUUACAUUUCGCAGAAAGCGUGUUUGGCUUCUGCGGGGUUAUUUUUUGUUUGUUGAAAGGUUGUGAUUCUGGAGUCUUGAUUUUACAUGUCAGUUCUGAUGGUGAAGUGUGGAGUGAUGGGGCCCAGGACUGCUCUCUCUCUCGCCUUGUCGUCUCCAAAGUGCCAGGCAUUUCACACAGGGUGAGAGACGUUACUGAGGUGUGUGUUAUUCUUGAUGUCGGCCUCCAGCGGGGAGCAGGAGUCAACACAGCUAGUAACAUACAGAGUGCCAUCAGCCUGUCAAUCAAGUCAGGGUUCUGUGUUCUGUCAUAGAGGCAGGAGGCCAUAAACACAUAUGAGCAUCUCCCUCACUGUCAAGGCUUCCUAUGCUGUGAUUGGCUGAAGGCUGCACUGUCACUGCAGCUGAUUGGCCGGGCUGAGGAUGAAUGUGCACGCUGACAACCAAUGGGGCCAGAUGAGGGUGAGCCGGGUGAGAUAUGGGACGCCACAUUCUUAAGCACUAAUCAAAUCUUAUGAGCUUUCACUGAUGGGUAUGUGUUAUGUUUGUUGAUUUGCCUUCAUUAGUCUUUACAACGUGUCCAUGUUCUUAUGCAUUUUUGUGCUUGCGAUGAAUCAUGUUGAUAGACGUCUGUAUAAAUUCUCAAUGUGUAAAGGGGUUUUAGCCAGUGAGCGAAUCAGUUUGUAUCAAGAGUUCAUAUGCAGGAGGAACCAAGACUUGCCUCAACAGAUUGAAACACGUAUUGCAGCAAGCUAAUAAAGUUUAUACUGAAGAGGUUCUGGGGUCAAAGGUCACUUGCUGCCCUCUGCUCAGCCUCCCCUCACCACUCCAUCUAGCGCUCCAACAGGAGUGCUGAAAAUAGCCUGUGAUGGAUGCAAAUCUGAACAUUUCCCUCAUUCCCUCCCCCUUUCUUAGUCUACCUUGCUCUGCUAUUCAGACCAUCUCUCGUCAUCCCUAUUAGUCCAGAUGAAGAUGGAUAUGGACAGUCAGUUAUUUAUGGAUUAGGGCGGAGCUCUGAACCUUUAUUGCCAUUCUUUUAUGUCCCGAAAAGGUCUUGGGUAUGUUUCACAUUACCAUUGUUUUUCUACAGCUGACAGAGUGACAGUAAAGACAUUUAGAAUGUUUCAAAAGAUUUAUAUUAAUAAAUAAAAUGCCUUUUUUAUUUCUGUUUGGGUUUUCAACUUACAACUUGUGUUUUGUAGGAAAGAGCAGCAUAGAUAUAUCUCAGCAAAAUACCUAAUUUUUGUUCGGUGGAAGCAAAAAUGUACAUUUGGGUGAGAUAUAUAGUGAAUUAUUCCUUUUACGUAAGCAUUCAAACAUUCAGACGCCUUAAUGUUCUGUGAGAAACUGUUUCAGACGCACACGCACGCAUUCUGAGAGAUGGACGUGGUGAUCUGUCGUGUGGGUAGACACACGUCGUGGGACACAGGAAUCAGGAGGGGGUGUUUUUGAGCUCUGUUUUAGUCAACUUCCUCUCUGUGCAACAGAACUUCCUGUGUUGGUUCCGCGAAUGGAGACCCACCAGCUUCCCCCCAGCGGAAUGAGUGUGUGCCUGUGCACGUGAGUGCCCGUAUUACAUGUCACUGCCACCUACCACUCUCAGCAUUCUCUUUCUGCAUGCUGUAGUCAAUUAGACUGCAUCAGUAUUUAUUUAGGGUUUAACUGUUAUAAAUGUGGCUACGUAAGUGGGUUCAGUGGGGUUUUGGUACCAAUGGAUUGCAAAUUGGGCAAACAAUUAUGGGUCAAUGAUGAGAUAUUUUUGACACUCCAACCUGGUAUUUAUUUAAAAAAUAUAUAUACAUUCAAAUGUAAUUUAGUAUGAAAGUAUGAUAUUUUAUUGAUUUAAUUAAUUAGUUCAUUAAUUCAUUAAAAUUAAUUUUGAUAUUUAAUCAAGAUGAAGCAAAUAAUAAUUAAGAUCUGUUCAAUCACAUGUAAUCAGGAUGUAACAUGUCAUGUGGUGCAACUCCAUGGAAACUGAUAUUUAAGAAUGAAUAGUUUUGGGAUAUAUAUAUAUAUAUAUAUAUAUAUUAAAGCACUUCUUUAAAAACAAAUUUCAUCUUUUUUAAAUAACAACUGAGAUCUGCACACUUACAAUACAUUCUAUAUUGAGGAUGCAUAAUGUCACGUGGCGUGGCAACGAAGAAUUUUAGUGAUAUUUAUGCAUUAAUAAUUUGUUAAAAAUAAUCUUGAAAUAUAUGUUUAAAAACAUUUUUUGGAAUUCAUAAUUAAGAUGUGUACACUCACACGAAUUGAAGUUUUGAGAAAAAUGUUAUUACUUUUGCUUGGUUACACCACAUGACAUUUUUAGAGCCAUUAAACUGAAACUUUUCUUAAAAAUUCUCU